CCUACGGGAGGCAGCAGUGAGGAAUAUUGGUCAAUGGACGAGAGUCUGAACCAGCCAAGUAGCGUGAAGGAUGACUGCCCUAUGGGUUGUAAACUUCUUUUAUAAAGGAAUAAAACGAGGCACGUGUGCCUUUUUGCAUGUACUUUAUGAAUAAGGAUCGGCUAACUCCGUGCCAGCAGCCGCGGUAAUACGGAGGAUCCGAGCGUUAUCCGGAUUUAUUGGGUUUAAAGGGAGCGUAGAUGGGUUGUUAAGUCAGUUGUGAAAGUUUGCGGCUAAACCGUAAAAUUGCAAUUGAUACUGGAGGUCUGAAGUACAGUGGAGGUGGGAGGAAUUCGGGGUGUGGCGGUGAAA
rnacentral:rRNA from 1 species